rnacentral:rRNA from 1 species
AACGAACGCUGGCGGCAGGCCUAACACAUGCAAGUCGAGCGAGAUCUUCGGAUCUAGCGGCGGACGGGUCAGUAACGCGUGGGAAUAUGCCCUUUGGUACGGAAUAGCCUCGGGAAACUGGGAGUAAUACCGUAUGUGCCCUUCGGGGGAAAGAUUUAUCGCCAAAGGAUUAGCCCGCGUUGGAUUAGGUAGUUGGUGGGGUAAUGGCCUACCAAGCCUACGAUCCAUAGCUGGUUUGAGAGGAUGAUCAGCCACACUGGGACUGAGACACGGCCCAGACUCCUACGGGAGGCAGCAGUGGGGAAUCUUAGACAAUGGGGGAAACCCUGAUCUAGCCAUGCCGCGUGAUCGAUGAAGGCCUUAGGGUUGUAA